UCGCCCUUACUCCUACGGGAGGCAGCAGUGGGGAAUUUUCCGCAAUGGGCGAAAGCCUGACGGAGCAAUACCGCGUGAGGGAGGAAGGUACUUGGAUUGUAAACCUCUUUUCUAGGGGAAUAAAAAAAUGAAGGUACCCUAGGAAUAAGCAUCGGCUAACUCCGUGCCAGCAGCCGCGGUAAUACGGAGGAUGCAAGCGUUAUCCGGAAUUAUUGGGCGUAAAGAGUCCGUAGGUGGAAGUUCAAGUCUGUCGUUAAAGAAUGGAGCUUAACUCCAUAGAGGCGGUGGAAACUGAACAACUAGAGUGCGGUAGGGGUAACGGGAAUUCCCAGUGUAGCGGUGAAAUGCGUAGAUAUUGGGAAGAACAUCGGUGGCGAAAGCGCGUUACUGGGCCGAAACUGACACUGAGGGACGAAAGCUAGGGUAGCGAAAGGGAUUAGAUACCCCUGUAGUCCUAGCCGUAAACGAUGGAUACUAGGCGUAGCACGUAUCGACCCGUGCUGUGCCGAAGCUAACGCGUUAAGUAUCCCGCCUGGGGAGUACGCUCGCAAGAGUGAAACUCAAAGGAAUUGACGGGGGCCCGCACAAGCGGUGGAGUAUGUGGUUUAAUUCGAUGCAACGCGAAGAACCUUACCAAGACUUGACAUGCCUGGAAUCUUGAUGAAAGUUGAGAGUGCCUUAGGGAACCAGAACACAGGUGGUGCAUGGCUGUCGUCAGCUCGUGUCGUGAGAUGUUGGGAUAAGUCCCGCAACGAGCGCAACCCUCGUCUUUAGUUGCCAUCAUUAAGUUGGGAACUCUAGAGAGACUGCCGGUGACAAACCGGAGGAAGGUGGGGAUGACGUCAAGUCAGCAUGCCCCUUACGUCUUGGGCUACACACGUACUACAAUGGUCGGGACAACGGGCAGCUAAUCCGCGAGGACAAGCGAAUCCCAACAAACCCGGCCUCAGUUCAGAUUGCAGGCUGAAACUCGCCUGCAUGAAGGAGGAAUCGCUAGUAAUCGCAGGUCAGCAUACUGCGGUGAAUUCGUUCCCGGGCCUUGUACACACCGCCCGUCACACCAUGGGAGCUGGUCACGCCCGAAGUCGUUACUCCAACCUUUCGAGGAGGAGGAUGCCUCAGGCAGGGCUAGUGACUGGGGUGAAGUCGUAACAAGGUAGCCGUACCAGAAGGUGUGGCUGGAUCACCUCCUUAUAGGGAGACCGAAUCCACUCAAAUCCGAAAGCACAUAGUAAAUAGGAAGAGAGUAGGUCAACCAAGGUCGUGCAAGGGGAAAAAGGAAUAAAAACUUUCAAACUAUCUAGUCGGUUCGGAAUAAGAGAGGAAACUCAGCUUAUAAAAACAGACGAGGGCUAUUAGCUCAGCUGGUUAGAGCGCACGGCUGAUAACCGUGAGGUCUCUGGUUCAAGUCCAGAAUGGCCCACCUGACCAAAAAGCUAAAAAAGUCAAUGUAAGUAAAGAAUUGACAGAAAAGCCGAAAAAAAGGAAAAAAGAUUCAGCAUCCGACCGUAAAAAAGAAGGAAUGCUGGACGAAAAUCCAGUGAGAACCUUGAAAACUGCAUAGAAAAAGAAAGAGAAGUCAGGUGUAAAAAACCGACCGAAAAAAAGGUCAAGCUACAAAGAGCUAACGGUGGAUACCUUGGCACACAGAGGCGAUGACCUAGGCACACAGAGGCGAAGACCUAGGCACACAGAGGCGAUGACCUUGGCACACAGAGGCGAUGAGGUACUCCUACGGGAGGCAGCACUCCUACGGGUACUCCUACGGGAGGCAGCACUCCUACGGGUACUCCUACGGGAGGCAGCACUCCUACGGGUACUCCUACGGGAGGCAGCACUCCUACGGGUACUCCUACGGGAGGCAGCACCUWGGCACACAGAGGCGADG
rnacentral:sRNA from 1 species